rnacentral:lncRNA from 1 species
AAUGCAUGCACCAUAGAAAAAAUAAUUCAGUCCUAGUUAAAGAAGCAGACGCAUCAUUACGUCCCGAAAAAUUGAAAGCAAGGAAUCAGUGUAUAUAUCGAAGUGCAGGACUAUGAAUUCCUAUGUCUUUGCAACGUUUCAGAUCGUAUGAAAUCUGUCUCAUUUCAGUUAACAAUGCCAAAGCUUCAUUAGCAUCAAAGUCAGGUGGUAUGUCGAGAAAAGAGUCAUAAUAGUCAUCAGUUGCUAAAUAGUCCUCAUUAACAAAUCCGAAAGCAACAUUAAACUCAGAAAUAGACAGAUUAUAAUGUACACCUAGUAAGCAAAAAUUGACAGCAUGAGGCGUAUCUAUGGUGUUGGCAGAACGGUUGAAGUAAAAUGUAGAAUAAAAUUCAAAAACCAACUCAUAAUAUGCAGGUUCAUCAAUAGCAGCAAAAUCAGUCCACCCAAUAGCAUCAAAAUAUUGAUUAACAGAUUCUUCAAUAUCUAAAGAAUAUAAUGAGAAUGAGUCGACGUGCUUACAUACUGGAAGAGGGCGAUGUUGAAUUUGUUC